ACUCCUACGGGAGGCAGCAGUGGGGAAUAUUGGACAAUGGGCGAAAGCCUGAUCCAGCCAUGCCGCGUGUGUGAAGAAGGCCUUUUGGUUGUAAAGCACUUUAAAGCGAGGAGGAGGCUACUUAGAUUAAUACUCUAGGAUAGUGGACGUUACUCGCAGAAUAAGCACCGGCUAACUCUGUGCCAGCAGCCGCGGUAAUACAGAGGGGUGCGAGCGUUAAUCGGAUUUACUGGGGCGUAAAGCGUGCGUAGGCGGCUUUUUAAGUCGGAUGUGAAAUCCCUGAGCUUAACUUAGGAAUUGCAUUCGAUACUGGGAAGCUAGAGUAUGGGAGAGGAUGGUAGAAUUCCAGGUGUAGCGGUGAAAUGCGUAGAGAUCUGGAGGAAUACCGAUGGCGAAGGCAGCCAUCUGGCCUAAUACUGACGCUGAGGUCGAAAGCGUGGGGAGCAAACAGGAUUAGAUACCCUGGUAGCGACUGA
rnacentral:rRNA from 1 species